rnacentral:misc_RNA from 1 species
GAUGCAUUCAUACAUUCAUGCAUAAUGCAUGAUGCAUUCACACAUACAUACAUUCAUACAUACUACAUACUUGCUUCGCUUGCACAUUCAUAAUUUCUCUGAAACGUCUCUCGGUGAUAAGUGACAACAAGAAGCACGUGAGAGAAUGUACCUUGGCUGCUAAUUUUUGUCGUGGGGCUGUGCAUCUUGACAACAUGCCACUGAAUUAUAGUAUUUUUUAUUCUGUUACUGCAUUUGAUAUCCAUGCUAUGUUCCAUGUUGCAUUGUAUUCAUAUCAAAGCCUCAUUAGCACAUGCCACUGAAGCUCUUUUUUAGC